GACUUCAACUGAAAAAGUCGACAACAACAAAGUUGUAUAACUCUUCAAUAUCUAUAACUUUUAUUUUUGUCAUUUCUUCAUCCGAGAAAGUGAUAGUAACAUUGUGCACAAAAUUUACAUAUCUCUUAUAUGGUUUUAUAAACUGUAAAAGGGAUAUCUAAAUUUCGUGAACAAUGUUACUAUCACUUUAUCGGAUAAAAAAAUGACCAAAAUAAAAGUUAUAGAUAUUGAUGAAUUAUACAACUUUGUUGUUGAUGACUUUUUCAGUUGAAAUC
rnacentral:pre_miRNA from 1 species